GUGGUGAGACAAGCAUAUGACUACUGGCAGGAUCAACCAGGUAGCAUUCCAUGUUGACUUUUGGCACUGCAUGGAAGAAUCCAAAACAACACCAAUUGUCGUUCGCAAAUAGCGUGGGACGCUGUUUUAGGGGCAAAUAGAGGACCGAUGAUGAUGCCUCGUACCCACGACGUACUCCAUGACCGAGAGAACGAACGCGAUGCCAUUGAUCCAACAAACCAAGUACACCGAAGCAAUGGAAGUUGGAGCAUGGCAUUUGUUUCGAAGUCCACCUCGUACCAAGAACCCAAGGGCUCCAAGCUUGAGGCGAAAUGACGUCAUUAAUCCAACCAAUUCCCACACCAUGGGUAUAGAACACAAGAAACCGAGCUCGGCCAAGAUGUUUUCCCGCUCUUGAACCGAUUAAUGAAAAGAGAUGCCGGAUAUAUUUUCGCUGCGCAAGCAGGGACCGAACAUACCCAUACACACCGA
rnacentral:misc_RNA from 1 species